ensembl:misc_RNA 7SK 7SK RNA
GGAUAUGAGGGCGAUCUGGCUGGGACAUCUCUCACCCCAUUGAUCACCAGCGUUGAUUCAGCUGGCCACCCUCAAUACUGCAUGUGUGUGUCCCUCUGGAAGACAGACGACCACCCCAUAGAGGGUGACCCUUCCUCAGUCAAGGGUGUACGAGUAGCUGCACUCCCCUGCUAGAACCUCCAAACAAGCUAGAUAGAUAAAUGGCAGUGAAGGAUAUGAUAAAUGUUUCCACCAUUUUUCCUACUCUGCUAAUGACCCAGAUGACCAGGUUAG